GACGAACGCUGGCGGCGUGCUUAACACAUGCAAGUCGAACGGAAAGGCCCUGCUUUUGUGGGGUGCUCGAGUGGCGAACGGGUGAGUAACACGUGAGUAACCUGCCCUUGACUUUGGGAUAACUUCAGGAAACUGGGGCUAAUACCGGAUAGGAGCUCCUGCUGCAUGGUGGGGGUUGGAAAGUUUCGGCUGUUGGGGAUGGACUCGCGGCUUAUCAGCUUGUUGGUGGGGUAGUGGCUUACCAAGGCUUUGACGGGUAGCCGGACUGAGAGGGUGACCGGCCACAUUGGGACUGAGAGAAGGCCGAGACUGCUACGAGAGGCAGCAGUGGGGAAUAUUGAACAAUGGGCGGAAGCCUGAUGCAGCAACGCCGCGUGCGGGAUAACGGUCUUAGGGUUGUAAACCGCUUUAGACUGUGACGAAGCGUGCGUGAAGGUAAUGGGUAAAGAAGCAACGGCUAAAUACGUG
rnacentral:rRNA from 1 species